UAUCUUGAAGUGUAUUCUUGUGUUCAGGUUCAUCUCUCAUGGCAUCAGUCACUGCUACAGCUCCUUCAGAGGUGAUGUCAGAGGAUUCACCCCCAGCUUCUAUUGGACGUACCUGCUGUCUGUAUGUGCAGGGGGCGGAGCCUGGCUGUUGCUCUGGGCAACGGUGGACAGGUUUGGUCGUCGUGGAAUUCUUCUUCUAGCCAUGACCUUGACCGGACUGGCCUCCCUAAUUCUGCUCGGACUCAUGGACUAUCUGAGUGAGUCAGCCAUGACUGUGUUCUCUAUAAUGGGCCUGUUCUCGUCCCAAGCGGCCGCCUCUCUCUCUAUUCUGUUCACCGCUGAAGUCAUGCCCACCAUCAUCAGAGGAAGUGGUGUGGGAGCGGUCAUGGCUUUGGGUUGCGUGGGCCGCCUCAGUUCUCCUCUCAUGG